rnacentral:rRNA from 1 species
UGGGCUUGACAUGUGCCUGACGACUGCAGAGAUGUGGUUUCCUUUCGGGGCAGGUUCACAGGUGGUGCAUGGCU